ACAGAUGCUGCAACCCUCUAUGGCCCCACGCGAAUUAUUUAAACCAAUUCUUAUAACUGUUACUCAAGAUAUUUUCAUUCUUUCAUUUUCGCUCUCUUUCUCUCUCCUUCUUCUAGCGCUUUCUCAUAUUUUUCUAUUCCUUUCUUUCUCGAAGCUUCAGCAUUCAAUGGCGGAUUCCACUUUCACGUAACACCAAUCCAUUGUUUCCACUUUCCAUCAUUCAACAGAACCGAAUUUCCAUAUUUCAGAUCCAUCUCGUCGCUGAAAAACAGCGAGAAAGUAAAGGUUACUUUUGCGAUGGUUUUUCAAUGGAGAUUUGCGUUUGGAUCUCAGGGUUAUUACUUCCAGAGGUUAAAUACAUCUAAGACAUUCCCAAUUCCUCAUCAGUAUCCUUUGAAACUACAAUCUUACUCCCUGAGGUUUUCCUUCUAAACUCUUUUAAGCCAUGAGUAAACCUCAUUAUUUGAAUUUUAAAUUUGGAGAAGUAAUAGCCACACUAUGUUUGAUUGUGUUGCUGAAAAGUUCUAUUACACAUCUUUCCAAUGGUUUCGUUGUGGCCAUGCAAAAUCUGAACCAACUAGGCUGUGCAUCGUUCUAGCCAUCUUCAUCUGUGUUAUCUUUGUAGCAGGUUUCAUUUAGUCAGCUUAUAGUUGCGUCAUUUUAUCGACUUACUUUUUCAACUGAGGUUUAUGGAGCUCACAUUUAUAUUUUGUUUUAUUGAAGUGUUUCUUUCUAACAAGAGAGUCUUGUAAUCCCUAUAAUAUUUAACACAUUAGAGUUUGGCCAAUAAUGGAACCCUCCUUAAAGGCAAUUAGAAUAUUAGUCCACUGUAACAGUGAUUGUAAUUAUAUCUGUUAAAUGUCUUUAUAA